UACGGAGGGGACUAGCGUUGUUCGGAAUUACUGGGCGUAAAGCGCACGUAGGCGGAUUUGUAAGUCAGGGGUGAAAUCCCGGGGCUCAACCUCGGAACUGCCUUUGAUACUGCAAAUCUCGAGUCCGGAAGAGGUGAGUGGAAUUCCGUAGUGUAGAGGUGAAAUUCGUAGAUAUUAGGAAGAACACCAGUGGCGAAGGCGGCUCACUGGUCCGGUACUGACGCUGAGGUGCGAAAGCGUGGGGA
rnacentral:rRNA from 1 species